rnacentral:tRNA from 1 species
GCCGAAAUAGCUCUGUGGGGAGGAGCGUUAGAAUGAAGAUAUAAAGGUCCCCGGUUCAAUCCCGGGUUUCGGCA